GGAAACGAACGCUAAUACCGCAUACGUCCUACGGGAGAAAGCAGGGGACCUUCGGGCCUUGCGCUAUCAGAUGAGCCUAGGUCGGAUUAGCUAGUUGGUGAGGUAAUGGCUCACCAAGGCGACGAUCCGUAACUGGUCUGAGAGGAUGAUCAGUCACACUGGAAUUGAGACACGGUCCAGACUCCUACGGGAGGCAGCAGUGGGGAAUAUUGGACAAUGGGCGAAAGCCUGAUCCAGCCAUGCCGCGUGUGUGAAGAAGGUCUUCGGAUUGUAAAGCACUUUAAGUUGGGAGGAAGGGCAGUUACCUAAUACGUGAUUGUUUUGACGUUACCGACAGAAUAAGCACCGGCUAACUCUGUGCCAGCAGCCGCGGUAAUACAGAGGGUGCAAGCGUUAAUCGGAAUUACUGGGCGUAAAGCGCGCGUAGGUGGUUUGUUAAGUUGGAUGUGAAAUCCCCGGGCUCAACCUGGGAACUGCAUUCAAAACUGACUGACUAGAGUAUGGUAGAGGGGUGGUGGAAUUUCCUGUGUAGCGGUGAAAUGCGUAGAUAUAGGAAGGAACACCAGUGGCGAAGGCGACCACCUGGACUAAUACUGAC
rnacentral:rRNA from 1 species